rnacentral:tRNA from 1 species
AUUAUUUUGGCAGAAAAAUGCAUUAAAUUUAGAAUUUAAGUAUAUGAAUAAGUUUUAUCAUAAAUAAUA